rnacentral:lncRNA from 1 species
GCCCCUCGCGGAACCCCGGCCUGUGCGCAGUUCCCGUGCCCUAGGAGUUGGCGGCGGGGCCCAGCCGAGAAUCUUCUUCCCUUCUGGUCUGACUAGGAAAGCCAGAGGGAGAUGGUGAAGGAGACACAGAGAGAGUAAAAGAACAGACCAUGCCCAGCCUCUCCACUGCAGGAGCUUGGAAUCAGUGAAGCAGAGUUGCCAGCCAUCUAUGGAUCCUAACUAAAUUGGUCCUUGUAAUACUCGGUAUUAUUUGCCAAGAUAUUGAAAAACCUCUAAACAGUGAGAAGCUCCCAGCCCCUUUUCUGUGUCUCUCAUCACCAGCUGCUGUGCCCUGAGGACACCCAGGCAGCCUAAGGAGAGGCCCACAGGUGAGAAACUGCAUGUGUGAGCUGAGCUUGGAAGUGGAUCUUCUAUGUUUUGCCAACAGCCACGUGACUAGUUUUGGAAGCAGAUUCUCCAGCCCCAGCUGCACCUGUGCCAGAGGCACCCAUUAAGCCGCACCUAGUUAAAUUCCUGACCCACAAAGACUUUGAAAUCAUAAAUGUUUGUUGUUUUAAGCUGCUAAGUUUUGAAGUAAUCUGCCAUGUAGCAACAUGAAACUACUUGGACCAAAUAUGUGUUUUUCUAAGCACAGGAAUAUUCACACUUUAUUAAACUUGAGUAUUCCAACAAUA